GACGAACGCUGGCGGCGUGCCUAAUACAUGCAAGUAGAACGCUGAAGAGAGGAGCUUGCUCUUCUUGGAUGAGUUGCGAACGGGUGAGUAACGCGUAGAUAACCUGCCUUGUAGCGGGGGAUAACUAUUGGAAACGAUAGCUAAUACCGCAUAACAAUGGAUGACACAUGUCAUUUAUUUGAAAGGGGCAAUUGCUCCACUACAAGAUGGACCUGCGUUGUAUUAGCUAGUAGGUGAGGUAACGGCUCACCUAGGCGACGAUACAUAGCCGACCUGAGAGGGUGAUCGGCCACACUGGGACUGAGACACGGCCCAGACUCCUACGGGAGGCAGCAGUAGGGAAUCUUCGGCAAUGGGGGCAACCCUGACCGAGCAACGCCGCGUGAGUGAAGAAGGUUUUCGGAUCGUAAAGCUCUGUUGUAAGUCAAGAACGAGUGUGAGAGUGGAAAGUUCACACUGUGACGGUAGCUUACCAGAAAGGGACGGCUAACUACGUGCCAGCAGCCGCGGUAAUACGUAGGUCCCGAGCGUUGUCCGGAUUUAUUGGGCGUAAAGCGAGCGCAGGCGGUUUGAUAAGUCUGAAGUUAAAGGCUGUGGCUCAACCAUAGUUCGCUUUGGAAACUGUCAAACUUGAGUGCAGAAGGGGAGAGUGGAAUUCCAUGUGUAGCGGUGAAAUGCGUAGAUAUAUGGAGGAACACCGGUGGCGAAAGCGGCUCUCUGGUCUGUAACUGACGCUGAGGCUCGAAAGCGUGGGGAGCGAACAGG
rnacentral:rRNA from 1 species